AUUGAACGCUGGCGGCAGGCCUAACACAUGCAAGUCGAGCGGAUGAAGGGAGCUUGCUCCUGGAUUCAGCGGCGGACGGGUGAGUAAUGCCUAGGAAUCUGCCUGGUAGUGGGGGGUAACGUCCGGAAACGGGCGCUAAUACCGCAUACGUCCUGAGGGAGAAAGUGGGGGAUCUUCGGACCUCACGCUAUCAGAUGAGCCUAGGUCGGAUUAGCUAGUUGGUGGGGUAAAGGCCUACCAAGGCGACGAUCCGUAACUGGUCUGAGAGGAUGACCAGUCACACUGGAACUGAGACACGGUCCAGACUCCUACGGGAGGCAGCAGUGGGGAAUAUUAGACAAUGGGCGAAAGCCUGAUCCAGCCAUGCCGCGUGUGUGAAGAAGGUCUUCGGAUUGUAAAGCACUUUAAGUUGGGAGGAAGGGCAGUAAGUUAAUACCUUGCUGUUUUGACGUUACCAACAGAAUAAGCACCGGCUAACUUCGUG
rnacentral:rRNA from 1 species